GCCGAAGGCAAUACAGGCAGUCCCCGGGUUACGUACGAGUUCCCAUUCCGGAGUCCGUCUUUAAGUCAGAUUUGUAUGGCAGCUCAGUGGCACAUCUACUAUAGCCACUGCCUCACAGCGACGGAGACGCAGGUUCAAUCCCGACCUUGGGUCCUGUCCAUGUGGUGUUUGUAUUUUCUCCCUGUGACUGCAUGAGUUUCCUCUGGGUGCUGUUUUCCUCCCACGUCCCAAAAGAGGUGCAAGUUGUACUGCAGAUCGAGGAUCACUUUCCACACACUGUCUGUUGCAAGGUAGCUGAUGAAGCCAAUGUUGUAGAGCAACAAAUCAGUCUGAACGAAGGAAGAGAGA